AUUAGAGCCCGACCGAUAUAUCGGCCGGCCGAUAUUAUCGGCCGAUAUGAGCUAAUUGCAUUUAAAUCGGCAUCGGCGUUUAUAACGGCCGAUGAAACAUAAAAAAACAGAGUCUCAUGCUUCACUCAUGUUAUGAGUGUUGCAUAGUUUGCCCACCAGAGGGAGCUCUGCAGCUCCCCAGUUGACAACAGCGCCAGAAAUCCACUACAGAAGAAAGCUAUCAGCCGAGCCACAGAGAUGUACUCUUUUGACGGUGAGUCUGUUGUUCGUCAUGUGAAAUGAUUGUAGAUUUAGUUCAUACACUGUAUAUAAAAACAGCGUGGUAGUUCUAGCUAACGGUCCUAUCAUUAUCACUUCUAAAUAUUCUGUAACAUCACUUACAGCCGCUAAUGCAUUGCUAUAUUAGAUUAGCCACAAAGCUAAUACCAUGUUUAUCAGUGGAUGAGCGCGAACGUUAAUAAGAGGUCAAACUAUAACGUUAGCGUUUAACCUAUUCUAAAUAUAUCUGCAGUGUUUCCCACAUAAUGACCGCGUAACUGUGGCAGGGGGGCGCGUGUAGUCAAUGACUAGAAGUUAUGUACAGCGUGCCUCGAAAAAACAACAACUGUUACGUUAUUCUAACGCAAACAUAGCUUCCUUUUUAGCAGGCCCCUUAAAUGCUUGCUAUUAACUUGUUUGAAGGUGGUUCUUCUCAAAAUUGACAGCGGUGUGUUCAUGACACUAACGUUAACCAUUCUACUUCGAAUUGAUUCCGUAAUCUUCCGGUAACAGUAGGCUAACUUUACGUUCGCCAGCGCAUGACGAUGUUUUGAUUCAGACUGCACAAAGAGAAGAGGAGAAGAUAUACGGGUCCGUUGUGAAUGUGUCUGUGAGAGCAAAUAUAGUGUAGUUACAGUAACUACAGUAGGUGCGUCAGAAAUUAUUAAACCAGAGGGGACAUGUAAAUAAAUAUGGCUGAAAAAGGUGAACGCUGUAGCAGCAAAGUGUGGGACUACUUCUGCAAAGAUUCCUCUAAUGCAGUGUUCUUUUGAUCAUUAAAAAAUAUAUACUUUUGAUGUGCAAUUGUUUAGUCAUUGAGACUGUAAUCUAAGACUUUUUUUAACAUAAUCCCUUCUGGAAAAUGGUUUAUACAGCCCACAUACAUAGAACAGGCAGAUAUUUUACUAUUGAAUGUUGUGUAAGUGUAGUUUAUAGGAAAUGGGUCUAAUAUCCAGUUUAUUUUCAAAAUCAAAAUAUCGGCUUAUAAAUCGGCUCUUUUCGAGUUAAUAUCGGCAUCGGCAUCGGCCCCCAAAAAUCCAUAUCGGUC
ensembl:lncRNA